CAACGAUAUGGACUGGGUCUAAAAUAGCUCCCCACCUCCUGGGAGUGAGAACUCGAAGACUCUUCAUUGUUGGCGCCAAUAAAGCAGCCACAAAUUGGGAUGAGCUAUGCAAAAGAUUUAAACACAAAUCCAAUGAAAAGGACAACAGCUUUAUUACUACCAAGCUAUACAGAUACCUCAAACAUUUGGCAAAAGCCUUAUUCUAAAAGAAAAGGACCAUUGAGCCUUUCGACAAAUUCAAAUCGAGCGCAGCCACCCAAUAUCGUUCAGGUGGAAUCGCAACUUCCGACAGAUGCUGG